CCUCCUUUCUAAGGAAACCAAAAUAAAAUCAAUCAUCUUCAGUUUUGAAAGACUUAGGCAACUAAGUUUUUCUUCGUGACUUCUAACGAAGGGCCUAUAGCUCAGUUGGUUAGAGCACACGCCUGAUAAGCGUGAGGUCGGUGGUUCUCAAGUCCAUUUAGGCCCACCAGAGUUAUAGGUUUCGUAAGAACACAAAUUCUUUGAAAAGCUUAGGUAAAUAAUAGUUAUUUAUCCGGAACAUUAAAGGAA
rnacentral:misc_RNA from 1 species